UAUUAUUUAUUUAAAAUUUAUAGGAUUGGAAUUUUUUAUUAUUAAUAGUAUGUUAUAAUAAGUUUUAAUUGUAAAUUUAAUUUAUAUAUAAUUUUAAAUUUUUUAUUAAAAUUAUUAAUUAAAUGGAAAAUUUAAUGUAAUAAUGAUAAAAUUAGUAUAAUUUAAUGUAAAUUUAAUUUAAAGUAUUAAGGUUAAAUUAAGGAACUCGGCAAAUUAUUUUCCCGCCUGUUUAUUAAAAACAUGUCUUUUUGAUUAUAAUUUAAAGUCUGGCCUGCCCUAUGAUUUAUUAAUUAAAUGGCCGCGAUAUUUUGAUCGUGCAAAGGUAGCAUAAUAAUUAGUUUUUUAAUUGAGAACUGGUAUGAAUGGUCGGACGAGGAAAAGACUGUCUCAAUUUAAUUUAAAUUAGAAUUUUAUUUUUAAGUCAAAAAGCUUAAAUAUAUUUAAAAGACGAGAAGACCCUAUAGAGUUUUAUAUAAUAUGUAAUUUUAAAGAAUGAAGUAUUUAAUAUUUUUUAAUUAGUAUUAUAUUUGGUUGGGGUGACUAAAAAAUUAAUUUAACUUUUUUUAUAUUAUAACAUUAAUGUAUGAGUAAGUGAUCCAUAUUAUUAUGAUUAAAAGAUUAAAUUACCUUAGGGAUAACAGCGUAAUUUCUUUUGAGAGUUCUUAUCGAAAGAGAAGUUUGCGACCUCGAUGUUGGAUUAAAAUAAACUUUUAGUGCAGUAGCUAAAAUAGUUGGGUCUGUUCGACCUUUAAAAUUUUACAUGAUCUGAGUUUAAACCGGUGUGAGCCAGGUUGGUUUCUAUCUUUAAAUAAUUUAAAUAUUUUAGUACGAAAGGACCAAGUAUUUAUAAAAUUUAUUUAUUUCUGAAUAUUAAUAAA
rnacentral:rRNA from 1 species